rnacentral:rRNA from 1 species
GACGAACGCUGGCGGCGUGCUUAACACAUGCAAGUCGAACGGAAAGGCCCUGCUUGCAGGGUCCUCGAGUGGCGAACGGGUGAGUAACACGUGGGUGAUCUGCCCUGCACUUCGGGAUAAGCCUGGGAAACUGGGUCUAAUACCGGAUAGGAGCCAUUUUUAGUGUGAUGGUUGGAAAGUUUUUUCGGUGUAGGAUGAGCUCGCGGCCUAUCAGCUUGUUGGUGGGGUAAUGGCCUACCAAGGCGGCGACGGGUAGCCGGCCUGGGGGGGUGGACGGCCACAUUGGGACUGAGAUGCGGCCCAGACUCCUACGGGAGGCAGCAGGGGGGAAUAUUGCACAAUGGGCGCAAGCCUGAUGCAGCGACGCCGCGUGGGGGAUGACGGCCUUCGGGUUGUAAACUCCUUUCGCUAGGGACGAAGCUUUUUGUGACGGUACCUAGAGAAGAAGCACCGGCUAACUACGUG